UUUAACGGAGAGUUUGAUCCUGGCUCAGGACGAACGCUGGCGGCGUGCCUAAUACAUGCAAGUCGAGCGGACAGAAGGGAGCUUGCUCCCGGACGUUAGCGGCGGACGGGUGAGUAACACGUAGGUAACCUGCCCCUUAGACUGGGAUAACUCCGGGAAACCGGAGCUAAUACGGGAUAAUAAAGAGAAUCACCUGAUUUUCUUUUGAAAGACGGUUUCGGCUGUCACUAAGGGAUGGGCCUGCGGCGCAUUAGCUAGUUGGUAAGGUAACGGCUUACCAAGGCGAC
rnacentral:rRNA from 1 species